rnacentral:rRNA from 1 species
CACGUAGGGCGCAAGCGUGUCCGGAAUUAUUGGGCGUAAAGAGCUCGUAGGCGGUCUGUUGCGUCCGCUGUGAAAACUCGGGGCUUAACCCCGAGCCUGCAGUGGAUACGGGCAGACUAGAGGGUAGGUAGGGGAGAAUGGAAUUCCCGGUGUAGCGGUGAAAUGCGCAGAUAUCAGGAGGAACACCGAUGGCGAAGGCAGGUCUCUGGGCAUUAACUGACGCUGAGGAGCGGAAAGCAUGGGGAGCAACAGG